AAUGGCGAGUAGGUUUUUGGUUCGCGUCCUCGCUAAGGAUCAACUAUUUUCCAAAAACCAGCUAUUUUAAGAAACCGAAGACUGAAUAGAAUACAGUUUAAGAAACACGCUUUGUCGCCGCAUUUCGUCUCAGGAAAACACCGCCCGUUUCACUGAUGAAACCUGUGGGAAUUAUCGAAAUGUUUCCCUUUUGUCAACAUUAGCAGAUCAGAGGCUGCCAUGAUGUUUCUGGCGUCGUUUUCGUCGAGUAGCCGCUGAAGUUUUCUGUGGAAUGACUAUUUUUUGGCCAUCAUUUAGCUGCGAACUGGUAACAGUGUGAUUCUGUGUAAUGUUAGCAUGUAGUUUGUCAGGAAUUUCCCUACAUUAAGGAAUCAGAAUGGUGGUGGAUGUGCAUACGAGGCCCUACCACAACUUUAAAAUGCAGCCAGCCUGUAUGACCCCAAAGGAACUCUCCGAUAAUGACGACUUGGCUACGUCUUUAGUGUUGGACCCCAUUCUGGGCUUCAACUCACACAAAAUGAAUAUCAAAUAUCGGCCACUGAAAGCCAACACUUCAGAGCUGAAGACUAUAGUGCAAGGCUUUAUUCUCACUCAGGACUACGAGAAGGCCUAUGGCUGUAUAUCGAAGGGCGAGUGGAUGCCACGGCUCAGGUCCAAAAGUCAGCAACGGACUCUGCAAGAACAUAUUUACAGAUACCUUCGUGUAUUCGAUAAAGACUCUGGUUUCGUGAUAGAGCCGUGCUAUCGCUACACUCUAGAGGGCCAGAAGGGAGCGAAAAUUUCGGCAACCAGGCGCUGGUACAAAAACGAGAAAAUCGAGUGCUUGGUGGGAUGUAUUGCUGAAUUAACCGAGCAGGAAGAAGACGAACUGUUGCAUCCAGGAAAAAAUGAUUUUUCGGUCAUGUACAGUUGCCGGAAAAAUUGCGCUCAACUUUGGCUUGGACCUGCCGCUUAUAUAAAUCAUGACUGUCGCGCAAACUGCAAAUUUGUAGCCACUGGUCGAGAUACUGCUUGCGUAAAAGUCCUGCGAGACAUUGAAGUGGGCGAAGAAAUCACUUGCUUUUACGGGGAGGAUUUUUUCGGCGACAAAAAUUGCUACUGUGAGUGCGAAACUUGCGAGCGACGCAAAGCGGGCGUUUUCGCCAAAGAAGCGGACAGCAAAGAGGAGAACGGGUACCGAUUACGGGAAACUGAUAACCGACUGAAUCGCACCAAGCAGAAAAUCAUGCAUAACAAUCACAAGGAAAUGCCCGGAUGCAAUGAGAGGUUGCAAGCCAGCGCCAUUCUCUCACCCUUGAGCAUGAAGGAGCUGCGGCAGAAGGGCCUCACUAAAUACGAUGCGGAACUAUUGAUAGCGCAAGGAUGUAAAUUUUCAGACAUUAGUGACUUUCGCACUAUGAAACGGGCUAGUCGUAGUAGUUCCGGGUCGCAUCAUAGUGAAGACCAGAAGAGCUGUACUGAGAAAAACGCUGUGAUAAAUGAAGGGAACGCCGCCCUGUCUUCAACUGUGAGUUCCCGCACUGCCCGACUGCAACGACGCCAAGCGCAGAGAGCCAACCAAGAACUAGAGCAGGCUGAUACUCAAGACCUGUCGCGUUCGAAUCUUCUGGACGACCUGCAGAGCAACGCGAGCAGUUGCCCCAGUAGUUUUAGUGAUAAUGAUCCUGUCUGUGAUGCAACCCAGCAAAAUAAGUUAUUUAACGAUAGUCAAGAAAGCAGCAAGCUUGGUAUAACUGCAGAAGAAUCCUCAGGAAUCACUCUUAGGAACCAUAAGUGUUUAACAGGGGAAUCAAAGCUGGACUUAAACUGCCGCAACUGCCAUGGAAUCAACAACAACAUGGAGCUUGAUACUGCCUGCAAUAUGAGGGCGAGCGGCGUUAAAAAACAUCGGCAAAGGCAUCAGAAGCACCCAUCAGUCUUGAUCGAUGCGAAUGAAACCGAUCAGUUGGAGGACGAGAGCUGUAAAACUGAGGAUGAUGUUUACGAAUUUCACGACGACACCUCUAGCGAUAUUGCUCCAUUGCGCAAGAAGGAGGAGGAAACCAAGCAGGAAAUCAACGUGGAGGAGCAGGAGGAAGUUAGUGAAACAGGCCAACGCGAACUAAAUACUGCCAUAGAACCCGAAAGCUGGACCGUCGAAGAGCUGAACGAGUAUCAAAAACCACCAGAGUGUGUUCAAAAUGUCGCAAGAACUCCGGAAAAGUGCGGCGGUAGACUAAAACUAACGCUGCGCAUGAAACGAAGUCCCGUGCUGGAUGAGGUGAUUGAAUCGGGAAACAGUUUGAGCGAUGAAUAUUUCGAGCCAGAAUAUGAAGUUCUACGGGUGGAAGGUGUGGAGGAUGACGAAGAAACUUAUUCAAGUUAUUCGCAUCGCAAGAAGCGCCAUAAAUCGAAAGACCGGAAACGAGAUAGGCGAUCAAAGCACUCCGAGGCGAGAGAUGAAGUUCCUCAGGUCCCUAUGAAGAGACUUCGGCUCAUUUUGGGCAACGAAAGUCAUACAAUUAAUAUACCGUCCACCAGCACCAAUUGUGAGACAUGAUGUUCAAUAAUGUCCCUAUAAGAUUUAUCAGUUAAUUAUACGGCUCUUGAGGGUGACACAACUUUUACGUAAAACUACUGGCGAUUUUCCGCCAGACGGUUAUGAAAUAUUUGUGCCGCUAAACGGGCUUAUACAUUUUUUGUACUGAUUCUCGUUGUUUAAAGGCACUGUAUUUGCCUAUUUUCCAUCAGACGCUUCACAUUUCGGCUCUGAAUAUAUUUUUCCAGCUCGUUUCAUUACUGAUCUACACUGAAAUAGUAUUAUUUCAAUCAACAUUGUGGUCGGAAACACAACAUGAUUAAUUAAUUUAUACACCGCUCUACAAACGUUGCAUUUUACCUACCCGAUAUUUUUUUUAACAAAUUACAUAAGUUUCUUACAAAAAGCCUCUUAUUUUCUCACAGCAUGUUCAAACCUUUGAAAUGUGAUAUGGACCGUUCAUGUACAUUUAACUGACUUCAUUCGCGUCGAGUUACACGUGAUCUUAAUUUAGUGUUUAGUUAGUUACUGAAUUUAGAUAACGUUAUUUUUCGUAUGUACUAAAUAAUUGUAACGCAAUUCCUUCAGUUUCUAGUAAAGCUCAUAGUGUUUUUUUUUUCAAAUAGUUAAUGUCUUUUUUCAGUUGCACGAUUUGUUUUCAGCUUCAUUCAACUGUUGCCUUUCGAUAUCGAUUAUUGUAGUUCCAAAACCCGGUUAGUUGAGACAUUUUCGAAAAAUCACUAUCAAUUGCUAGAUGAGUACAAACAACUGAAAUUCUUAACACACAAACGGAAUCGGAUAAAACCAUAACCAUAGAUGUGCAUACAGUUUAGACGAAAGACUUUAAAUAGGUAACAUGUUUAGUGUAAGUAAAAUCAGUUAGUUCUAGGAAUCAGUAAGCGAAUGAAUAUUGACUUACUUAACACGGACGAUUAAAUAAAUUAAUUUACAUUGAUUCAGGUUUCUUAACUGCACUUAGAGCAUAUCCUGUUGUAGAAUAUUGCUGUAAAUAGAAUUAUUUUGUAUAUUUAUUUUUACAUUACUUUUAAGUCUUGCGGUUACACAGUAAAAGAUAACAUAGGAUGAUUGAGAAAACGUCUGAUAGGUAUUUGUAAAAAAUCCUGUUAUAUAAUUGUUAACUGUUAACUGUAAAUUUUAUCUAAAUAUGUGGGCUGAUUAAAGAAAAAUUGUUGUAGAACUUGGAAGGAAAGUUCAAUGUAAGUUUUCUUUAAUAGCUUCAUGAUCUAAUGCUGAUCGAUGUACAUCCUAUUGUUCACAAGAUGCAAGUACUUGUAUAAAUCAGUUGUGCUAGAUGUAUAAAGUAUAGUUAAACAUUUGGAAUUCUCAAUACCUCUCACUGUGUAUAUUAAGCGAUUUUGUAUUUCUGUCAGUAUAAACUAAAAGAUAAUGGAAGAUAUACAAGACAAUUGUUCCUCGUAUUUAUUUGUAACAUAUUCACCUGACAAAAACUUUUGUGUAAA